UACGAAGGGGGCUAGCGUUGCUCGGAAUCACUGGGCGUAAAGGGUGCGUAGGCGGGUCUUUAAGUCAGGGGUGAAAUCCUGGAGCUCAACGCCAGAACUGCCUUUGAUACUGAAGAUCUUGAGUUCGGGAGAGGUGAGUGGAACUGCGAGUGUAGAGGUGAAAUUCGUAGAUAUUCGCAAGAACACCAGUGGCGAAGGCGGCUCACUGGCCCGAUACUGACGCUGAGGCACGAAAGCGUGGGGAGCAAACAGG
rnacentral:rRNA from 1 species